CCCGCUGAACUUAAGCAUAUCAAUAAGCGGAGGAAAAGAAACUAACAAGGAUUCCCCUAGUAACUGCGAGUGAACCGGGAAAAGCUCAAAUUUUGAAUCUGGCGGUCUUCAGGCCGUCCGAGUUGUAACCUAGAGAAGUGUAACCUGCGCUGGACCGUGUAUAAGUCUCCUGGAAUGGAGCAUCACAGAGGGUGAGAAUCCCGUCUUUGACAUGGACCACCAGUGCAUUGUGGUUGUGCUCUCAACGAGUCGAGUUGUUUGGGAAUGCAGCUCUAAACGGGUGGUAAAUUCCAUCUAAAGCUAAAUAUUGGCGAGAGACCGAUAGCGAACAAGUACCGUGAGGGAAAGAUGAAAAGAACUUUGGAAAGAGAGUUAAACAGUAUGUGAAAUUGUUGAAAGGGAAACGUUUGAAGUCAGUCGCGUUGGUUGGGGAUCAGCCUGACAUUGUUGGGUUUACUUCCUGGUCGACGGGCCAACAUCAGUUUUGACUGCCAGAAAAAGGCCAAAGGAAUGUGGCACCUUUGGGUGUGUUAUAGCCAUUGGUCGUAUAUGGUGGUUGGGACUGAGGAAAGCAGCGUGCCGAAAGGCCGGGUUUCGACCACGUUCACGCUGAGGAUGUUGGCAUAAUGACUUUAGGCGACCCGUCUUGAAACACGG
rnacentral:rRNA from 1 species